GUGUGUAGGCGGAUCGUUAAGUGUCUUGUGAAAUCCCACGGCUCACCCGUGGAACUGCUGGGCAUACUGGCGAUCUUGGGCCAACUAGGGGCAACUGGAACAAGCGGUGGAGCGGUGAAAUGCGUAGAUAUCGCUUGGAACGCCGAAGGUGAAAACAGGUUGCUGGGGUUGUGCCGACGCUGAGACACGAAAGCCAGGGGAGCAAACGGGAUUAGAUACCCCGGUAGUCCUGGCCCUAAACGAUGUCCACUAGAUUGCGGCGUCUUUGACGGCGUCGCGGUCGUAGCAAAAGUGUUAAGUGGACCGCCUGGGAAGUACGGUCGCAAGGCUAAAACUCAAAGGAAUUGACGGGGGCUCACACAAGCGGUGGAGCAUGUGGUUCAAUUCGAAGCAACGCGCAGAACCUUACCUGGGUUUGACAUGCUAGGAUUAUCCCGAUGAAAGUCGGGUAGGCCCCGCAAGGGGUACAACUAGUACAGGUGCUGCAUGGCUGUCGUCAGCUCGUGUCGUGAGAUGUCGGGUUAAGUCCCUUAACGAGCGAAACCUUUACCCUUAGUU
rnacentral:rRNA from 1 species